AGAGCGAACGCUGGCGGCGUGCUUAACACAUGCAAGUCGAACGCGCAGCAUUCUGUAGCAAUACAGGAUGUGGGCGCGUGGCGAACGGGUGCGUAACACGUGGAUAACCUUCCUUCAGGUGGGGAAUAACCCAGCGAAAGUUGGGCUAAUACCGCAUAACAUGACGAUGCCACAUGGUGUUGUCUUCAAAGGCGCAAGUCGCCAGAAGAGGGAUCCGCGGCCGAUUAGCUUGUUGGCGAGGUAAUGGCUCACCAAGGCAUUGAUCGGUAGCCGGACUGAGAGGUUGGCCGGCCACACUGGAACUGAGACACGGUCCAGACUCCUACGGGAGGCAGCAGUGGGGAAUCUUGCACAAUGGACGAAAGUCUGAUGCAGCAACGCCGCGUGGGGAUGAAGCUUCUCGGAGUGUAAACCCCUUCGACCCGGACGAAUGCCCGCAAGGGUUUGACGGUACGGGUAUAAGAACGCCCGGCUAACGUACGUGCCAGCA
rnacentral:rRNA from 1 species